CCUACGGGAGGCAGCAGUGGGGAAUCUUGCGCAAUGGGCGAAAGCCUGACGCAGCAACGCCGCGUGCGGGAUGAAGGCCUUCGGGUUGUAAACCGCUUUUAACAGGAACGAGAAUGACGGUACCUGUAGAAUAAGGUGCGGCCAACUACGUGCCAGCAGCCGCGGUGACACGUAGGCACCAAGCGUUGUCCGGAUUUAUUGGGCGUAAAGAGCUCGUAGGCGGUUCGAUAAGUCGGGUGUGAAAACUCUGGGCUUAACCCAGAGACGCCACUCGAUACUAUUGUGACUAGAGUUCGGUAGGGGAGCGGGGAAUUCCUAGUGUAGCGGUGAAAUGCGCAGAUAUUAGGAGGAACACCGGUGGCGAAGGCGCCGCUCUGGGCCGAAACUGACGCUGAGGAGCGAAAGCGUGGGUAGCAAACAGGAUUAGAUACCCUGGUAGUCCACGCCGUAAACGGUGGGCACUAGGUGUGGGCUCCAACCAACGGAGUCCGCGCCGUCGCUAACGCAUUAAGUGCCCCGCCUGGGGAGGUACGGCCGCAGUAAACGUACAAUAGAUAGACGG
rnacentral:rRNA from 1 species